GAAGCAACGCGCAGAACCUUUACCAGCCCUUGACAUGCCCGGCUAGCUACAGAGAUGUAGUGUUCCCUUCGGGGACCGGGACACAGUGCUGCAUGGCUGUCGUCAGCUCGUGUCGUGAGAUGUUGGGUUAAGUCCCGCAACGAGCGCAACCCUCGCCCUUAGUUGCCAGCAUUCAGUUGGGCACUCUAAGGGGACUGCCGGUGAUAAGCCGAGAGGAAGGUGGGGAUGACGUCAAGUCCUCAUGGCCCUUACGGGCUGGGCUACACACGUGCUACAAUGGUGGUGACAGUGGGCAGCGAAGGAGCGAUCCCGAGCUAAUCUCCAAAAGCCAUCUCAGUUCGGAUUGCACUCUGCAACUCGAGUGCAUGAAGUUGGAAUCGCUAGUAAUCGCGGAUCAGCACGCCGCGGUGAAUACGUUCCCGGGCCUUGUACACACCGCCCGUCACACCAUGGGAGUUGGUUUUACCCGAAGGUAGUGCGCUAACCGCAAGGAGGCAGCUAACCACGGUAGGGUCAGCGACUGGGG
rnacentral:rRNA from 1 species